rnacentral:lncRNA from 1 species
ACGUGUACAUUACCUACCCACGCUACUUACGCUCACAAGCUAGGAGUAUGUCGCACACCAGCCAAGUCUAGUAGCAGGAGCGGCAUUGAAGUCAUGCUGAUAAAAGAAUAAUAUUGGAGACGACAAAGCGCUUCCGUGCUCCUUCCAGCCAAGCCUGAAACGUUUCUUCCCCGCCAGACGUCAGAAAUAUUUACGAUGAAAAUAGAGCCGAGGACUAACCCAAUGAAACUCUUCUUGCAAAAUCACCCGUUGCACAUAUUAGUGUUCCUGGAAGCGUCUUUUACGGCGUGCGCCACAAAUACUUCGUGAUUCAAAUAUUCGGGGGGUACCCCGAAUUUAUAGCACGUAAUGCUUACAGGCUUGCCAAAUUAUGUCCUGAGGCAACGUCGUCAGCGUUUUUUGCAAGGGACAACCAGCUGGCGUGCAAGAAGACGUGGAAUCAGCUAUGAUACGGCUUUAGCUUUGAUAUGUUUUGGUAUUCAAGUACAUAGGUGUUUCCUCAAGAAACAAGUUGUUGCAUGGAAUGCAGCACGGCAGAAACGCCGAGCCUGCGGCGACCCCGAACUUUUGUGCCG